GAUGAACGCUGGCGGCGUGCCUAAUGCAUGCAAGUCGAGCGAACAGACGAGGAGCUUGCUCCUCUGACGUUAGCGGCGGACGGGUGAGUAACACGUGGAUAACCUACCUAUAAGACUGGGAUAACUUCGGGAAACCGGAGCUAAUACCGGAUAAUAUAUUGAACCGCAUGGUUCAAUAGUGAAAGACGGUUUUGCUGUCACUUAUGGAUGGAUCCGCGCCGCAUUAGCUAGUUGGUAAGGUAACGGCUUACCAAGGCAACGAUGCGUAGCCGACCUGAGAGGGUGAUCGGCCACACUGGAACUGAGACACGGUCCAGACUCCUACGGGAGGCAGCAGUAGGGAAUCUUCCGCAAUGGGCGAAAGCCUGACGGAGCAACGCCGCGUGAGUGAUGAAGGUCUUCGGAUCGUAAAACUCUGUUAUUAGGGAAGAACAAAUGUGUAAGUAACUAUGCACGUCUUGACGGUACCUAAUCAGAAAGCCACGGCUAACUACGUG
rnacentral:rRNA from 1 species